ACAUCCAGCGAACUUUCCAGAGAUGGAUUGGUGCCUUCGGGAACGCUGAGACAGGUGCUGCAUGGCUGUCGUCAGCUCGUGUUGUGAAAUGUUGGGUUAAGUCCCGCAACGAGCGCAACCCUUAUCCUUUGUUGCCAGCGAUUCGGUCGGGAACUCAAAGGAGACUGCCGGUGAUAAACCGGAGGAAGGUGGGGAUGACGUCAAGUCAUCAUGGCCCUUACGAGUAGGGCUACACACGUGCUACAAUGGCGCAUGCAAAGAGAAGCGACCUCGCGAGAGCAAGCGGGACCUCAUAAAGUGCGUCGUAGUCCGGAUCGGAGUCUGCAACUCGACUCCGUGAAGUCGGAAUCGCUAGUAAUCGUGGAUCAGAAUGCCACGGUGAAUACGUUCCCGGGCCUUGUACACACCGCCCGUCACACCAUGGGAGUGGGUUGCAAAAGAAGUAGGUAGCUUAACCCUCGGGAGGGCGCUUACCACUUUGUGAUUCAUGACUGGGGUGAAGUCGUAACAAGGUAAGCGUAGCGAG
rnacentral:rRNA from 1 species